rnacentral:rRNA from 1 species
UUAAGGAACUCGGCAAAUUGACACCGUAACUUCGGAAGAAGGUGUGCCUUUAGUAGGUGAAGUCCCUCGCGGAUGGAGCUGAGAAAGGUUGCAAAAAAUCGGUGGCUGCGACUGUUUAAUAAAAACACAGCACUCUGCAAACACGAAAGUGGACGUAUAGGGUGUGACGCCUGCCCGGUGCUGGAAGAUUAAAUGAUGGGGUGCAAGCUCUUGAUUGAAGUCCCAGUAAACGGCGGCCGUAACGAUAACGGUCCUAAGGUAGCGAAAUUCCUUGUCGGGUAAGUUCCGACCUGCACGAAUGGCGUAACGAUGGCCACACUGUCUCCUCCUGAGACUCAGCGAAGUUGAAAUGUUUGUGAUGAUGCAAUCUCCCCGCGGAAAGACGGAAAGACCCCAUGAACCUUUACUGUAGCUUUGUAUUGGAUUUUGAACAGAUCUGUGUAGGAUAGGUGGGAGGCUUUGAAGCGGUGCCGCUAGGUAUCGUGGAGCCAACGUUGAAAUACCACCCUGGUGUGUUUGAGGUUCUAACCUAGGUCCAUUAUCUGGAUCGGGGACAGUGCAUGGUAGGCAGUUUGACUGGGGCGGUCUCCUCCCAAAGCGUAACGGAGGAGUCCGAAGGUACGCUAGUUACGGUCGGACAUCGUGACGAUAGUGCAAUGGCAUAAGCGUGCUUAACUGCGAGACUGACAAGUCGAGCAGAUACGAAAGUAGGACAUAGUGAUCCGGUGGUUCUGUAUGGAAGGGCCAUCGCUCAACGGAUAAAAGGUACUCUGGGGAUAACAGGCUGAUACCGCCCAAGAGUUCAUAUCGACGGCGGUGUUUGGCACCUCGAUGUCGGCUCAUCUCAUCCUGGGGCUGUAGCCGGUCCCAAGGGUAUGGCUGUUCGCCAUUUAAAGAGGUACGUGAGCUGGGUUUAAAACGUCGUGAGACAGUUUGGUCCCUAUCUUCCGUGGGCGCUGCAGAUUUGAGGAAGCCUGCUCCUAGUGCGAGAGGACCGGAGUGGACACACCUCUGGUGUAUCGGUUGUCACGCCAGUGGCAUCGCCGAGUAGCUAUGUGUGGAAGAGAUAACCGCUGAAAGCAUCUAAGCGGGAAACUCGUUUCAAGAUGAGAUCUGCCGGGGCCUUGAGCCCCCUAAAGAGUCGUUCAAGACCAGGACGUUGAUAGGUCAGGUGUGGAAGCGCAGUAAUGCGUUAAGCUAACUAAUACUAAUUGCUCGUGCGGCUUGACC